AGAGCUGGAUUCCUAGAGAGGACGGGAAGUGGAGGGGGGUGAAGGUCCUCCAGGGCUAAAUCCCCCCUCCCCCUCCCUCCCUGCCUUCUUCUUCUCUCUCCUUUGCAAAAGCCCCUCCUGGACUCGGGUGAGUCUCCUCUCUCCUCCCCCUGAGGGUGCAAUGGGGAGAAGGGGGUCCCAGGGGGGCAGGGAGGGGGCAUGGGGGUCCCUGCUCAGAUCAUGCCUGGGGGGGGGAGACCCCCAAGUCGGGGAGCAGAGGGUCCUCCCUUGUCCUCUCUGCCAAGCCAGGGAGGGGCCACUUCGCAGGAAAUUUGCAGCUCUGCUCUUCCUUUUUAGGGAGGGGGCUUUGGGUCAAGGAAAAGUGGGCUGGCAAAGAAACCCCCUUCAGAGGGAGGGAAAAGUCACAUUUGUGAACAGAGGUUGUAGCCGGAUAGGAACAUUCCCACGUGGGGGGAGCACAGGGAGAAGAAAAGCCCGUCUGCAUCUGCAGCAGCACAACAGGACCACUUCCUCUGUCCCAGAUGCAACAACACACGUCUCUCCCCCAUCAUUUAAAUACACAACAAAAUUGUUCCAUUAAGAUACUGAAAUAAGCAUGAAGGAAAAGAAUAAUGUUAAAACAAUGCAGCUAUUAAGAGGCAGAAAAGAACAGAGCAAUGUGUAGAAAAAUAUCAUCUUUGUGCUCCCUUUUUCCCUUAGGGUGCAGUGUGCUUUGAAGACGUAGCUGUUCCUUUCACAGAGGAGGACUGGGCUUUGCUGGAUCCUGACCAGAGAGCUCUGCAGAAGGAAGUCAAGGAGGAGAAUUGUGGGAUCGUGGCCUCUCUGGUAAGGCUCCCUGCUGGAUCAUAAGAUCAGUUUUGAAAUUCCAUACAGAUCUCUGAAGGACAAACCUCCUCUAUUUUGAGGGAGCCCCAUAGCGCCACCUACAGCAUCUGAGAUGUUAACACACCCACAACUCUCCAUAGGAGAUGUAUCUCCUGUUCUGUCUGGGAAUAUUCUUCCACCAGUCCUGCCUUUUCCAACCAUGAGGAGGCUGCUCUGAGCUGCCCAGGCCUUCUUCAGUGUAAUCUUCAGAGAUAUUAAGGACAUGGAAGUACAUCCUGUCUAAUUUUCUGUUUCCCUUUCUGCAUCUGUCUGUUUUUGGUUGAGCAAAGAAAUGACUGAGCUUGGAGAUGGAGCGGAUUCCACGACUGAGCCAAAUUACAUCCAUCCCUGGAACGAGCCAGGCUUUUCGAAUCUCCGGGUCCCAUAAAUACGUUAGCUAAUACCAGCCAAAAAAGGCAGUAACUCCCUUCCCUUCUUCCUCUUUCACAAACAUUCAUUUGCAUUGUUCAAUCAUUUCAGACUCUAUCUAUUCCUGAGGCUAUUAUUAUUUAAUUAAUUAAUUAAUUAAUUAAUAAUACUGCCGUGGGUUGUAGGUGGUGAAUUGGAAAGGAAGAAGAAUGGAGACAACAAGAAAAAUCCACACAAUGGAGAAACCAUAUAAAUAUUCAGUGUGUGGAGAGAACUUUAGUCGGAGCUCCCAGUCCACUUCCCAUCAAGGAAAGCUCUUCGUUCAGAAGGAGAGCCUCACUUCACAUGAAAGAACUAACGGGGGGAAGAAAUUAGUGCUUGAAACGUGAGGAAAGCUUCCUUCGCAGCUCCAUUCUCAAUUCCCAAGAGAUACUUCAUACAGGGGAGUGUUUGGAAAAAGCUUCACCUGGAAAACCUGUCUCAGUUUCCAUUCAAUAAAUCACAGCAAGGAUAAUCACAGAAUUUUAGAAAAUGGUAUAAGGCAUAAGGUAUAACUGGUAUAAGGAAACUUGAUGAGGAAUUAAGCGGAAAGACAGUGUUGACCCAGAGUAGUUACAAAAUGUAUGUUCUCUCCCCGAGUGCCACAGACCCUCCUCCAAAGAAAGCUUCUCUAAAGAAAGCACAAGCAAAAAUUACUCCAUUUUACGUGAAUAAGAAAACGAGGAGGUGGCUAAGAAACAGCAGGAGCCAGAUCCUAUUACUGACCUUAUAGGAUCUCUCAGCAGCUCUAAGGAUGAGCAGAAAGAGGUUUUGGGCCCAGGCAGCUCAACUGCUAAGUCAUCUCUGGCACUGAGACCAGGAGCUCAAGCGACUCAAGGCCAAAUUCAGGCUAAACAAGUAGAGGAACUAAUCUGAAAGCAAAAUUCAAAAUUAAAGCAAGUAUAAAAGACUGCUACUCCCAAACUUCUGGGACAAAAGAGGGAUUAUCAGUCUUUGUUUUUUUUUUUUUUAAAUAAAUUUUUAUUAAUUUUCCAAACACAAAAUAAAAAAAAAAAAAAACAAUACACAAUACACCGACAUACAAACAUAUAAACAUGUAUAAUUUCAUAACCAUUUUUUCAUAAACCUUACUUUCCGGACUUCCCCAUACCUCCCCUUUUCUGCAUCCUUGUUUUAUAUUUCUUCAGCAACUCCUCAGUCGACUAAUUAUUCAAUUCAAUUUCUUUUAAGUUCUUCUAAUAUUGUUAAUUACAGCUGCAAUUCUCUGUUUCCCAACCCCUUGACAUUUUAACAUUCCUGAAUUUUACAACAAGUUCUAAGAUAAACUUUGAAUUUCUUCCAAUCUUCUUCCACUGUCUCUUUCCCCUGGUCACGGAUUCUGCCAGUCAACUCCGCCAGUCCCAUGUAGUCGAUCACCUUCGUCUGCCAUUCUUCCAGUGUGGGUAGUUGUUGUGUCUUCCAAUACUUUGCUAGAAGAAUCCUUGCUGCUGUGGUCGCAUACAUAAAAACGUCCUGUCCUUCCUUCUCACCAAUUGGCCGACAAUGCCCAGGAGAAAAGCCUCAGGUUUUUAGGGAAGGUCCAUUUAAGAACCUUCUUAAUUUCAUUAUAGAUCAUUUCCCAAAAAGCUUUUAUCCUCGGGCAGGUCCACCAAAGGUGAUAAAAAGUACCUUCAGUCUCAUUACAUUUCCAACAUUUGUUAUUGGGCAGAUGAUAAAUUUUUGCAAGCUUGACUGGGGUCAUGUACCACCUAUACAUCAUUUUCAUAAUGUUUUCUCUUAAGGCAUUACAUGCCGUAAAUUUAGUACCGGUGGUCCACAGCUGUUCCCAGUCAGCAAACAUAAUGUUAUGACCAAUAUCUUGUGCCCAUUUUAUCAUAGCUGAUUUCACCGUUUCAUCCUGUGUGUUCCAUUUCAACAGCAGAUUAUACAUUCUCGACAGAUUCUUAGUAUUGGGUUCUAACAGUUCUGUUUCUAAUUUUGACCUCUCCAUCUGGAAACCUAUUUUCCUGUCCUGUUUAAAUGUCUCGUUUAUCUGAAGGUAGUGCAACCAAUCUCGCACUUUGGACUUUAAUUUCUCAUAACUCUGUAAUUUAACUUUUUCCCCAUCUUGUUCUAAAAUUUCACAAUAUUUUGGCCAUUUAGACUCCAUAUUAAGUUUUUUCACCUCUUUAGCUUCCAUUGGUGACAACCACCUGGGAGUUUUACUUUCCAAUAAAUCUUUAUACCGCAUCCAAACAUUAUAUAAUGCUUUCCUAACAAUAUGGUUUUUGAAACCUUUAUGCAGUUUUACCUUAUCAUACCAUAUAUAUGCAUGCCAGCCAAAUCUAUUGUCAAACCCUUCUAGAUCCAAAAUGUCUGUAUUCUCAAGAAGUAGCCAAUGUUUCAACCAGCAGAAAGCCGCCGAUUCAUAGUAGAGUCUUAAGUCCGGCAGGGCAAACCCCCUCUAUCUUUUGCAUCAGUUAGAAUCUUAAAUUUUAUUCUGGGCUUUUGCCCUGCCAGACAAAUUUAGAUAUAUCUUUCUGCCACUUCUUGAAACAGUCCAUCUUGUCCAAAAUCUGCAAUGUCUGGAAUAAAAACAACAUUCUAGGCAAUACAUUCAUCUUGAUAACAGCAAUUCGACCUAACAAAGAGAGUUUCAACCUUGACCAUAUUUCUAGAUCUUUCUUUACCUCUGUCCAACAUUUGUCAUAAUUGUCCUUAAAUAAAUUCACAUUCUUAGAUGUUAAGUUUACCCCCAGAUACUUUACUUUUUCGUUAUCACUAAACCUGUUUCAUUCUGAAACUUCUCUUUUUCAGCCAAUGUUAAAUUUUUGUCCAACACUUUCGUUUUCUGUUUGUUCAGUUUAAAUCCUGCUACUUGACCAAAUAUCUCAAUUAGUUCUAAUACUCUUUUAGUACUAGUAUCUGGCUGUUGCAAGGUCAGUACUAGGUCAUCUGCAAAUGCCCUUAGCUUGUAAUGUCUAGCUCCGACUUGUACUCCUUUAACCAACUGGUCUCCUCUAAUCAUGUUUAACAAAACCUCCAGGACUAAUAUAAAAAGUAAAGGGGAUAUUGGGCACCCCUGUCGUGUACCUUUUUCUAUAGAUAUUUCUUCCGUAACCACAUUGUUUACAAUUAACUUUGCUUUUUGUUUAGAAUAUAUUGCACCUAUACCGUUUUCAAACCCUUGACCUACCCCCAUCCCUUGGAGAUUCUUCUUCAUAAAGCUCCAACCAAUAUUAUCAAAGGCUUUCUCCGCGUCCACAAAAAUUAAAACAGCCUUCCUAUUGAUGUCCACUUCUAACAGUUCCAAAAUGUCUAUAAUGUUCCUCACAUUGUCCGACAUAUGUCUCCCUGGAAGAAAGCCAGUUUGGUCCUUAUGAAUCUCCCCUACCAACACUCUCUUCAGUCUUUUUGCCAUAAUGUCUGCAAAAAUUUUGUAAUCCACAUUGAGUAAUGAUAUAGGGCGGUAGUUUUUAACCUGGUUCUUUUCAGUCUCAGUUUUCGGUAUAAGUGAAAUAAAGGCUUCUUUCCACGACUCUGGUGCCUUUUUCCCUCCAAAAUUUCAUUACAUACUUCCUUCAGUGGUUGUACUAACCAUUCCUUCAACGCUUUAUAAUAUCUGGCGGUCAAACCAUCUGGUCCUGGAGAUUUUCCCAAUUGCAUCUUCUGAAUGGCACCCUCUAUUUCUUGUCCUGUUAUUUUCUCAUUCAAAAUCCUUCUGCUUUGCUCUGAAAUUUUUGGUAAUCCAUGUUUCUUAACAAAUUCUUCUAUUUCCUGUUCGUUGACUGGCCCUUGUGCAUAUAAUUUCCUGAAGUAACUUUGAAAACAAUUACUUAUCUCGUUUGGUUUGUGGAUAAUCUUUCCAUCCACUUCUAAACUUGUCACAGUGUUCAGUUUUUGCCUCUUUUUCAAUUGCCAUGACAGAAAUUUCCCACAUUUAUCUGCUGAUUCAAAUGUCUUUUGUCUCAUUUGCUUUAUUUUCCAUUCUAUCUCUUGAUUCAUCAAUUCCAUAUAUUGCACCUGAUAGUGCUUUAUUUCUCUCAGAAUCUCAUGGGACUUUGGUUUAGACCUCAAUUUCUUUUCACCUUCUUUUAUUUUUUCCCGAAUUUUGCCUUCCUUUCAUUUUGUUUUUUGCUUUUUAUGGAGUUCUGUUGUAUUAGGAAACCUCGCAUCACGGCCUUACUUGCGUCCCAGAUUAUUCUUUUUCCACUUCUGUUCUCAAAUUUAUCUCAAAGUAAUCUUUCAGUGUUUUUUGGGCCUUCUUAUAAAUCUCUUCAUCUCUAAAUAGGGUGUCAUUCAUUCUCCAUCUAAAGGAUCCAGUUGAUGUUAGUUUCAUCUCCAUCUUUACAGCAUUAUGGUCGGAGCAAGUCUUUGAGCAGAUUUCUACCUUUUUGAUCCUUGGCGCCAUACUGCUAGUUACCCAAAUUUGGUCAAUUCUUGUCCAUGUCAUUUUUGCUUCAGAGAAAAAUGUUCCCUCUCUCUCAAGAGGGUUCCUUGUUCUCCAAAUGUCAAUCAAGUCCAUAGUUUCUGUCAUUUCAAAAAAGUCUUUGGUAGUCUCCCUUCCUUGGAAAUUACUUGUCUCUGUGCUUUGUCCAUAUUUGUGGAAACUACACCAUUCAUGUCUCCCAUCAUUACUACUCUAUAGUCUAGAUAGUCCAUUAAAGUCUCAUGCAACUUCUUAAAGAAUUCCGCCUUCCCGUCAUUUGGUGCAUAAAUUCCGACUAUCAAGAUUUUUUCUCCUUGAACUUGUAUUUCAAUUGCCAGGUAUCUUCCUUGUUCAUCUUUAAAUAUCAUCUUUGGAGCCAAUUUUUCUUUUGCAUAAAUCACCACGCCUCUUUUCUUAACUUUGUCUGAUGAAAUAAAUUCCUGUCCAAGUCUCUUGUUUACCAAUAAUUUCCUAUGUGUCCUGGUCACAUGGGUCUCUUGUAGACAUAUUAGGUCUAAUUGUUCUCUUUUCAAAAUAUGAAAAACUUGGCGUCUUUUUCGGGAAGGUUCAAACCAUUACAAUUCCAGCUAAGAAGUUGCAGAGACAUUUUGUUAUUAAGUACCUGUUCCUCCGACUGCUCCUAGCUUUUGUUCAUCUUCAGAUGGUGGUAUGAGUCCAAAUGACAAGUUUGCAAUGUCUGUCACUCCUUUUUCUUGUAUUGUUGUUUCUACUGUUCCUUUCUGCAAGUCCUCCUGAUAUCUCUCCAAAAACUGUUCUUUAUCUUGAACUGUUCUUAUUUUGACCUUCCUUCCUUUGAAGUUAAAAGACAAUCCUUGUGGAAACUCCCACCUGAAGGGUAUGAUAUUUUUCUUCAGCAGGUAGACCAAAUCUUUAUAGAAGGCUCUCACCUCCAAAAUAUAUUUAGGGAUAUCUUUAAAAAUUUGUACUUGACUAUUUUCAAUCUCCAAUGCCUUUUGGUAAUGCAAGUUCAAUAUUUUAUCUCUUUCUCCUUUGGAUCUCAAUGUGAUCAAACAAUCCCUUGGCUUCUUACCUUGCCUCCUGCCCAGCCGGAAAGCUGUUGUUAUUUCAAAUUCUUCUUCCUGCAGCUCCUCUUGCCAAAAUUCCGUAAAGUUCUGUGUAAGGAAGUCCACAAGGCUGUCUCCCUCACUCUCGGGAACCAAUCUCAAUUUCAAAUUUCUCUCUUUUCUCUGUAAUUCCAGCAAAGAUAGGGCUGCAUCAUGUUCAUUCACUUUUUUUGUAAUCGGCACAAGCUCCUCCCUUGUCUCCUCUGCAGUAUUUUUUGCACUUUCAGCAAUCUUUCGUGUUUCAGAACUUUCUUGAAUUAAUUUAUUAAUAGAUUCUGUAUUAGAUGUUACACUUGCAGUAUUCAAGUCCAAUCUUGCUGUCAGUUCUGUCAAUUUUUUUGAAUUUUCCGUAGAUAGCUUUGUCAGUGCUUCUAAAGAUUGGUUUAUUUUGAGCAGUGCCUGUGUCAUUGAAUCCAUAGAUGCUGUUGCCACUUUUUCCUGUGCAGCUGGUGGUAUGCCAGGUAUUGAGCCCCUUUUCUUUUGUGUCUGUUUUGCUUUGGAUCUAGUUGUUAUCUCUUCUGCUGGACCACUCCAUAUCCUCAAGGUCGUUCUCACAGGAAAGACUUGCAAGUGGAAAAUCCCACUGUUUCUUUUUCACUGUAACAGUUUCUCUUUAUACCCUCUAGAGGGAGCAUUUAAUUGUAUCCAAGUGAAAAGAGAAAGAACAAGGAAACAUAGAGCAAUCAACAAAAAAUCCAAGAGUCCACAGUAAAAGUUUCUGUCGCACUUUUUCAGUAUAGUCACAAGUUCAACAAAGUAAUUCCAUUAAAGUCCCGUAACUUUGUCUCAGACAAAACCCCAACUUUGUAUCCAGUCUAAACUGACAGUUCACUUUCCCGGUGCCUUACUCAGGCAGUCCGUCCUGGGGAUUUGGCAGUGGAAGAUGUUUUUUCCUCAGUUAAUUUCAGGCAGAUUAACAGUGUCCAGUUUUCUUCCCCCCUUCUCCUGCUUACUGGGGGGAAGUUUAAGUCAAAUGUCAGGUUUGACAGCUCAAAGAUAAUUUUCUUUCAAAUGCAGCUUUACUCUUUCGUUGCUUUAAUUGCCAUGCAGAUCGGGGAGGCAGACUUCCUUAAUUUAUGCCUUUCCCGUUUUCAGCCAAAUUUCAGGAUUUAAAUUUAAAUGUCCCGUUCAGUCCCUCCGUCUUACUCACGGGGUUUACAGUCGAAUUUCUGGUUCAGGAAGAAAUCGGCGCUCUCCGUUCAUGGCGACGCGGCUUCACUCCACGGGCUGGGUUGCGACUCUCAGCACCGCGCUCACCCCGAUGCCGCUCCGUAGCCUUUAAAAGGCUCUUUCACAGUACCGGGGCGCAAAGGUGCCCACCGAGUCUCCUUGUUCACAGGCUUCAGCGCCUGUGAUUUUAGGGGUCCCCCGCUCGCCGUAGCGGGUCAGACCCAAACUCGCGGAGCAGUCCUCCUCCGGAGCUCGAAGCGAGGACCGCCAUUAAACGCUGGCGCCGACCGGAAGUCCACCCAAAGAUUAUCAGUCUUUGGGUGGCUUGUAGUACUAACAGAUUGCAUGGAACACUUAUAAUCCUUUUUGGCUGACUGUAAUAAAAUUCUUACCAUCCUGAUAGGUACUUGUAAAACCUUCUGAAUAAAAUCUAGCAGAGUCUGUGGAACCAGAUAAUACAACAAUUUCUCUUUCCAUACCAUUAAAAAUAGAUCAAUAAGGGAGGUUUGAUUCGUCCACAUGGCAAAAGGAGGUCUAUAAGUACAAAGAAGAGCAAAAGUCUUAAAAAUUUUAAAAAUAGUGCAAUAUUAAAAAGUUGACUUGAAAAUACUUUUUAACUUACUUAAGAGCAGCUCAUGCUCUUUUUUUUUAAAGAUAUUUAUUAGAAUUUCACAAGAAAAGGAUCACAUUAAUAAGAAAAUUAACAAUAGAAAGAAAAAUACAGAAUACAAAGUACAAAAAAGAAAAAGAAAAAACAGUUAAAAACAAUUCCAUCUUUUCAUCACUUCUUUUACGUUUACUUGUUUCCCGGACCUCCUCAUACCUCCCUCUUUUGUAUUCCAAUUCAGUUUGUUAGUCCAGCAAUUCCUUUCCCUCCUUUUUAAUCCUGAUCUUAAUCUUAAUAUAUUAUAACAUUAACAUUUACCUAUUAAAAACCAAUUUUUCCAAUUCUUUUAACCAUUACUGCUAGAAACCGCUUAACUUCAAUCCGUCAUCAUUCUAACAUUCAUUAAUUUUACAAUAUUUCUGUAAGUAGUCUUUAAAUUUCUUCCAAUCUUCUUCCACCGACUCUUCUCCCUAGUCUCGUAUUCUGCCAGUUAUUUCCGCCAAUUCCAUAUAGUCAUCAUUUUCAUCUGCCAUUCCUCCAGUGUGGGUAGAUCUUGUGUCUUCCAAUACUUUGCAAUAAGUAUUCUUGCUGCUGUUGUAGCAUACAUAAAGAAAGUUCUGUCCUUCUUUAACACCGAUUGGUCGACUAUGCCCAGGAGAAAGGCCUCUGGUUUCUUCAAGAAGGUAUAUUUAAAUACCUUUUUAAAUUCAUUAUAAAUCAUCUCCCAGAAAACCUUAAUCCUUGGGCACGUCCACCAAAGGUGAAAGAAUGCACCUUCAGUUUCUUUACAUUUCCAACAUUUAUUAUCGGGCAAAUGAUAGAUUUUUGCAAGCUUGACUGGUGUCAUGUACCACCUGUAUAUCAUUUUCAUAAUAUUCUCUCUUUUUCAGGGCUUUCGCUUCCAUCGGUGACAGCCACCUUGGGGUUUUAUUUUCCAAUAAGUCCUUAUAUCUUAUCCAAACAUUAAACAAAGCUUUCCUAACAAUAUGGUUUUUAAAUGCUUUAUGUGCUUUGACCUUAUCAUACCACAGAUAUGCAUGCCAUCCAAAUACAUUGUUAAAACCUUCUAGAUCCAAAAUGUCAGUGUUUUCAAGAAGCAGCCAUUCUUUCAACCAGCAAAAAGCUGCUGAUUCAUAAUAAAGUUUAAGGUCUGGCAGGGCAAAUCCACCUCUUUCCUUUGCAUCUGUUAGUAUUUUAAAUUUUAUUCUGGGCUUCUUGCCCUGCCAGACAAAUCUAGAAAUAUCUCUCUGCCACCUCUUGAAACAGUCCAUUUUGUCCACAACUUGCAAUGUUUGAAACAUAAACAACAUUCUGGGCAAUACAUUCAUUUUUAUCGCAGCAAUAUGGCCCAGCAGUGAAAGCUUCAAAUUUGACCAAAUUUCUAAAUCUUUUUUCACUUCAGCCCAACAUUUCUCAUAGUUAUCUUUAAAUAAAUUCCCAUUUUUGCUGUCAUAUUAAUCCCCAGGUAUUUAACUUUCUUAACCACUGUUAAACCUGUCACAUUCUGAAACCUCUCUCUCUCCAUUGGUGUUAAAUUUUUCUCUAAAACCUUAGUUUUUAAUUUAUUCAAUUUAAACCCUGCAACUUGACCAAAUUCUUGAAUCAAUUCUAAAACCCUUUUGGUACUAGAUUCUGGCUCCUGUAACGUCAAUACUAAAUCAUCUGCAAAUGCUCUCAAUUUGUACUGUUUAGCUCCGACCUGUAUACCUUUAACCAACCGGUCCCUUCUAAUCAUGUUCAGCAAAACCUCCAGGACCGAAAUAAAAAGCAAUGGGGAAAUUGGGCAACCUUGUCGUGUCCCUUUUUCUAUCUUAAAUUCUUCUGUCACCACAUUAUUUACAAUUAAUUUAGCCUUUUGUUCUGAGUAAAUUGCACUUGUACAGUUUUCAAAGCCUUGGCCUACCCCCAUACCCUGUAGGUUCUUCUUCAUAAAACUCCAAGAAAUGUUGUCAAAAGCUUUCUCCGCAUCCACAAAUAUCAUAACUGCUUUAGUAUUUAUGUUCACUUCUAGUUUUUCCAAAAUAUCGAUUCUAUUCCUCAAAUUGUCAGACAAGUGUCUUCCCGGGAGAAAGCCCGCUUGGUCUUUAUGAAUCUCUUCCAUCAACCCUUUUUUCAAUCUCUUAGCCAAAAUGUCUGCAAAAAAUUUGUAAUCCACAUUAAGUAAUGAUAUGGGGCGGUAGUUCUUAAGCUGCGUCUUUUCAGUCUCUGUUUUCGGUACAAGUGUAAUAUAAGCUUCUUUCCACGACUCUGGUGCCCUUUCCCCUCCAUUAUUUCAUUGCAGACCUCUUUCAAAGGUUGUACUAGCCAUUCUUUCAAGGAUCUGUAAUAUCUAGAAGUCAGUCCAUCCGGUCCUGGAGAUUUACCCAAUUGCAUGUUUUGAAUGGCACCUUCUAUCUCCUGUUCAGUUAUUUUAUAGUUCAACAUUAAUUUAUUUUCUUGAGAGAUUUUUUGUAAUCCAUUUGUUUUCAAAAAUCGAUCUAAAUCGGUUUCUUUCAGUGGUCCUUGUGUAUAUAGUUGUUUAAAGUACCUCUGGAAACAAUUUCUAAUCUCAGCUGGGUUCUGUAUAUUCCUUCCUUCCACUUCUAAAUUUGUAACUGUAUUUAAUUUUUGUCUUUUUUUCAUUUGCCAGGCCAACAAUUUCCCACAUUUGUUAGCUGAUUCAAAUGUCUUUUGUCUCAUUUGUUUAAUUUUCCAUUCUAUCUCUUGGUUCAUCAUUUUCAUAUAUUGCACUUGAUAUAAUUUUAUUUCUCUCAGAAUCUCUUGAGACUUUGGUUUUGUUCUCAAUCUUUUUUCACUUUCCUUUAUUUUCUCCAAUAUUUUAUCCUUCUUCUCAUUUUGGAUUCUCUUCUUUAAUGCAUUCUGUUGUAUCAAGAACCCUCUCAUAACCGCUUUGCUUGCGUCCCAGAUUACUCUUUUUCCACAUUGGUGCUCAUAUUUAUCUCAAAAUAGUCUCUCAAGGUUUUUUGGGCCUUCUUAAGCACUUCUUCAUCUCUAAAUAAGGUGUCAUUCAUCCUCCAUCUAAAGGAGCCAGUUGGUGUUAGUUUCAUUUCCACCUUAACAGCAUUAUGGUCGGAGCAGGUUUUUGGGCAGAUUUCCACUUUUCUUGUCUUUGGUGCCAUUCCUCUAGUUACCCAUAUUUGGUCAAUUCUUGUCCAUGUCAUUUUGGCUUCAGAAAAGAAGGUUCCUUCUUUAGCCAUGGGGUUCCUUGUUCUCCAAAUAUUGACUAAGUCCAAGUUGUCUGUCAUCUCAAAAAAAGUUUUCGGUAGUCUACCAUCCUUAGUGACUACCUGUCUUUGUGCCUUGUCCAUAUGUGUAGAUACCACUCCAUUCAUGUCUCCCAUCAAAAUCAUGUUGUAAUCCAGAUAGUCCAUCAGGGUCUCAUGCAACUUCUUAAAAAAUUCAGAUUUAACCUCAUUAGGUGAAUAGAUUCAUACUAUCAAAAUUUUUUCUCCUUGUGUUUGAAUUUCGAUUGCCACAAAUCUUCCUUGGUCAUCUUUAAAGAUAAAUUUCGGUGAUAAUCUGUCCUUUGCAUAAAUCACAACCCCUCUUUUUUAACCUUGUCCGAUGAAAUAAACUCCUGCCCAAGUCUUUUAUUAAUCAAUAGUUUCCUGUGUAGCCUUGUUAUAUGUGUUUCUUGUAGGCAAAUCAAGUCCAAUUGUUCCUUUUUAAUAAAUGAAACACAGAUCUCCUUUUCUGGGGGGAGUUCAAGCCAUUACAAUUCCAGCUUAAUAGUUGCAGAGCCAUAAUGUAACUACUUUACUUCUCCUCCAACAGCACCCAGGGCCUGUUCCUGUUCUGUCGGUGGUAUCACCUUUUUCAGGCGGUCUUUUAGUUCCAGAGAUAAAUCUGGUAUGUCUAAAGUUUCUCUUACAAGUUCUCUUAGCUCUCCUGUGACUUUCUUCUGCAGGUCUUCUCCGUGGUCUCUCCAAAAUUUGUCUUUGUCGUCUUCUGAUCUUAUUUUUAUCUUCUUUCCUUUAUAGCUAAAGGAUAGGCCUUAGGGGAAUUCCCACCUAAAAAUAAUUCCGUUGCUUUUCAGCAGAGUAACCAAAUCUUUAUAGUUGGACCUAAGGUCCAAAGGAUGUUUCGGGAUAUCCUUCAAUAUCUCCACUUUUGACUGUUGUAUUUCCAAGGUCUUCUGGAAAUGCAGGCUCAAGAUUUUAUCUCUCUCUUCUUUUGUUUGGAGGGUGAUCAAACAGUCUCUCACCCUGUUCUUUCUCCCUCCUCUUCCAAGCCUAAAAGCACUCACUAUCUUGAAACUGUCCUUCCCCAAAUCUGGGUUCCAAAAGUCUGCAAAUUCCUGCGUAAGAAAUUCAAUCAAAUUGUCCUUCUCCACUUCAGGUACAGCCCUGACCCUUAAAUUCACUUGUUUCUCCUUCAACUCGAUCAUAGACAAAAUUGACUUAUGGUCUUCAAGUUGUUUAUGUAGCGGUGGUAUCUUCUCUUCUACCACAGUAGCUGUAGCAGUAGCAAUUUCUUUAGCCUCUUCGGCUGUCUUACGUGUCGAAGUAGAUUCCUGUAAUAGUUUCUGAAUAGUUUCUGUAUUAGUAUUUACCUUCUGUCCCAAAUUAUUAAUACUUGUCGUAUUUUGAUUAAUACUUGUCGUGUUUUGAUCAAUUUUACCCGAUGCCUCGGCUACUUGUUUACUUAUUCUUUCCAAAGAUUCAUUAAUUUUAGCUAGUGCCUGAGCCAGGGCAUCAUCAGCUGCCAUGCCUUUGGGUUUAGAUUGUGCCGAUGAGGUUGCUGUUGGUAAACCAGGAGGGCCAGAUGUCGAAGCCCUUCUUUGCAGCCCACCGUCUGUAUGAAAUACUUUGCCAGACCUUGUUGCUUGUAACAAAUCUAUCUUCUCUUUCCCAUCUGCCAUAACCCUCAAGAUAUAAGCCAGGGUCAGUCUCACAGUCAGAGUCAGAGUUGUUUUGAAGUGGAAAGUUCCCUUGGGAAAUUGAAGUGGAAAAUUCCCUUAAGCCAGCUGCAGUUGUAACAGAUUCAAACUUCCUCUAGGGGACACUGUAACAGUCUAAAAUGUCUUAAAAUAAUUAACUUCUCCCUUUAGCCCCCCAAUUCACCGAAAAGACAACAGUUUCUGUCUCAAUCUGUUACUUUAAAACCAGGAGAUACCUGUCAGCAAUAUUGUAACCAAGUUGUAUCUCCGAUGCAGAGUUAGCUGUCAAAAAGUACUUUCAUCGACAGCGCAGUUUCCAAUACGGCAGAACCCGUUCCAGGGUUUUAAGCGGUGGUUUUUGUUUCCUCUUCCUCUCUUUUUUCAGGGAAAUAACGUUCAAACCUUCUCCCCCCUCCUCCCCUGCAGUCAAGGGGGGAAAAUCACAGUUUUGAUGCUCGAAUUAUAAUCCUUUUCCAACGUCUUUUAAAGCUUCCGCUUUCAAGUUCAAUGCUUUACUCCGUUUACAAGAGCGGGAGGCAGACUUCCUUUUUAUACCUCUCCGCUUCGGUACUGAAUUAUUCAAAAGUUUUGUAAAGUUCCUUUAAUUGGAAAGUUAACCUACUCACGGAUCAUUGUUUCAAAGCCAAAUUGUCCCAGGAAAAAGGCAGCGCUCUCCGGCAACAGCUGCGCGGCUUCACUCCACGGAAGAAGCAGACGACUCACAGCACAGCGCCACUUCCCCGCUCAGCUCCGGAGCCCGUUGCCGGGUUCCUUUGCUGAUUGGGGGGGCGCAAAGGUGCCCGCCGAGUCCCACGGUCACAGGCUUCACCCGCCUGUGAUUUUUGAAGGGUCCCCGCUGCGCCGUAGCGGUGCAGACCCUAUUUCCGUGGAGCCAGUUCCCUCCAGAUCAGAGGGAAUCCGCCAUUACCGAUGGCGCCACCCCGGAAGUUCAAGAGCAGCUCAUGCUCUGGGUCCAGACAGAACACUAAGAAGCUUGUACUAUGCUAGAAUCUGCACACCAGAUUCCUAUAUCAAUAUGAAACGAUAUGCAAGGUUAUCAAAUGGUCUGAUGUCCUGUCAAAAGCCAAAACCAAACCAACUAGGGAGAGGGUUUUCAUAAAAAGGAAUUGGAAAUGGGUGCUGUCUCAAAAUAAGCUACUUCUCUCAAGCUAACCUAAGCCUUUGGAAAUCUUGUCACAAGAGGAGCGUAAAGUUUGUGAAGAUGGUGUAUAAGCACAGAGAAUAUCUAAGGAGAAGUGGUGUAUCAGUCUCAAGAUUAUUCCAAAAUGUGGCAUCACCAGCUCCUCUGCUUCCACAUACAGCAACACCUCCAAAAAGUCCUCGAUCCAAGGCAGACUAUCCUGCUUUAGUUGACAUAUACUCUGCAGGUGACAAUCCUGACUAGCCAGCUGACCUGGACCCCAAGGAACCCCAUAACUCAGACAGCCCUGGGUCCUUGCACUUGAGAAAUCUGGGGAAGGACCUACUUGACAGAACUGAAAAGAAUUGAUUGCAUGCCUUUUGUGCUCUGCCAUAAGAAGCCCAGAAUGAAAUAUUCUCCAGAUUUGACCUCUGACGUUCCUGCCUAAUGAGUUUGAAGAAGGAACACAAGGGCUCAUGCAAGUAGAACUUGACCCUUUGUGCUCCAGAUCCAGCCCACCAGAUAUUCCAGCGUGAGUUGAAUUUAUGGGCUGAAAAGCCACCUCCUCCCACCAGCAGGUUAAUGAACCCUCUUUCCUACCAAUUGGAGAUGACAAGCUUCCCAAAGAUUUGGUCCCCAUGCAAGAGGCAAAUAUGGCCAAAACACCUGCCUGGCUUGCAAUGAGAGAGCUCAAAGAGCGUCAACAGGGCUCUUCAUACAAAGAACCAAGCAUGCAGGCACCUACAAUACAUGUACAGAGGUACCUCGGGUUCCAUACGCUUCAGGUUACAGACUCCGUGAACCCAGAAAUAGUGCUUCAGGUUAAAAACUUUGCUUCAGGGUGAGAACAGAAAUUGUGCUCCAGCGGCACAGUGGCAGCAGGAGGCCCCAUUAGCUAAAGUGGUGCUUCAGGUUAAGAACAGUUUCAGGUUAAGUACGGAUCUCUGGAACGAAUUAAGUACUUAACCUGAGGUACCACUGUAAUAGCUACUGUGCUAUUUUCUGCCCAUGCUCUGGGGUUGCAGUUUUCAGGCUUGGGGACAGGGUGGUGACUGGUUUUUGCACCAAGUUCUGUCCAUAAGCCCCACUGAGUUCAAGGGUUCCACCUUGAGGUCACUACUGGACAGACCCUGCCAGCCUUACGAAGUCGGGUGAUUAGCAAACAGGGGAAACUGGAACGACAGGAGAUGUUUCGAAAUGGGGCUUCUGUUGGGAAGGGGCUGCCCCAUUUGUGCUUCUCCAGGGGCAGGAGAAUAUCUAGGGCAGGAGAAUCCCUGCAGGGCCUCUGAGGCUCCCUUUGCUUCUUCCUCCCUCCCAGGACCCUGCAGCUUCUUUUGGCUCCUUGACUCCUCAGGAAGGAUGAAAGAGAAGGAUCCUGCAAAGCUAACGAGGAUGGAAGGGGGAAGAUGGACGGUUGACCUGGUCCGGCUGUCUCCUGCAUCCCUCCCCACAACCUCUGAGCGUUCCCUCCCAGGGACCUCCGAGAGAUCUGGUGAGUCCCAGGGGAGGGGAGAUGGGGACGUAGAGGGAUGGAGCCGGAGAGGAAUUGGGGCUUGCUCAGGUUGGGGGUGGGAGGAAGCAGGCAGGCGGAUGGAGAUGGAGAAGGGGAGCACCUUUUUGGGCUCCCCCACCUGCCUGCCUGCCUGCCUGCCUGCCUGCGCCUUUGUCGUCUGCAGGCAAUUUGAGCUAGGAAUAGAUCACAGCUCCCCGGCCACUGCGAUGUAUUGGCAGCUCAAAAGGUCUAAAACCAGUUCUGUGAUCUGAAUGCCCUACCAAUUUCAGACAACUCACUGAUCCAUCACGCAGCACUGGACUCCUUAAAGGAACCUGAUCCUGCUGUGCAGUGUGAACUCAGAUGGGGCCUCCGUGUGUUGCCUUUUUCUCUUCUUUUUGUAUAACUUUUAUUAGCUUUAUAAAACAAGGAAGAUAGGAAUAAUAAAUGAUACAAAUAUGUAGGCCGAGCCUGUAUAUCUCAAACAUAGCAGAAUAAAUUUGCAGGAGUAUCUAUAACAUAUAGUUCAUCAUUAGUGGUCAGUGUAUGAGUUCUGGGUGCAUGAAUUGCUUUCAACUGAAACAAAAAAGGGGAAACAGGAGAGAACAGAGAACAUUCAAGAUCGCAGAGCCAAAUGCCUAGACUGGAGCUCUUGUGGCCGUUGUGCUUAGAUUAAGUGAGUAAUAGUCAUUUUUCCUCUUCUGUUACCAAUGAAACAAGACAGAGUUGGUCUUAUCAUGAAAAUGGGAGGGGGGGUUCAAAGUGAAGAAAGAGAUUUACGUAUAAAUUUAAAUAUUUUCCUGUUUUAAUUUUUUUUAAUUAUUAUUAUUUUUAAUGGUUUUCACAUAUUACUUUACAAUACAGAUGUACCAAAGCCAACACCAUUUCCUCCCCAUCCCCCCAUACAUUUACAUUUCUAUUUCCUCAAUCCAUCAUAUUAUCCUUUUCUCCCUCCUCCCACUUCCCUCCGCCCCCACUGGAUUUCCUCCACAUUAUACAAUUUACAAUAAUCUUUGCAUUCUACAACCUUCUCAAAUCAUCUUCAUAUUCUUAUUAUCUUUCCUUACUAAUUUUUCUUCCAUCCAGUACUUCACAUUUUAAUCUAGGCAUAUUAGCGUAUCUUUCCUUGAGCAAUAUUUUGCCAUAUAUUCAUCAAAACAUUUCCACUUGGUUGUCAAGUCUCUGCUUAAAGACCUCCAAAGAAGGAGACUCCACCACACUCCUUGGCAGCAAAUUCCACUGUCAAACAGCUCUUACUGUCAGGAAGUUCUUCCUAAUGUUUAGGUGGAAUCUUCUUUCUUGUAGUUUGGAUCCAUUUCUUCUUAUAGCAGUUAAUUUUGCCCGAAUUAAAUAUUCAUUUAGUUUACAAAUCCAUUCCUCCUUUGUGGGUAUAGUUUGUGACUUCCACCGAGCAGCAAUCACUAUUCUAGCAGCUGCACUUGUGGAAUGUAAUGGCGUCUGCCACACUUUCCUGUGCCAACUCUCCGUGCCAACUGUGAGCCUGAAGCUGUCUUCCUGGCUCCAAGCCGAGUUUUGCAGCAGCGGUCGUGCCUUGGGUGGGUGAUAAAUCCAAGGCUGUACGCAGGCUUCUUGCUCAUCUAAGAAGUCUUUAAUCAUUGUACGGAAAAACAUCAUAAAUCAACCUGGAGAUCGAGCAGACAUCUCCUCGGCUCGACAGCUAAAAACGAAAGUAACUCGCACACAAAGAAAGAUUCCCGUAUGUGAACAAAACCACGCCUCAGAAUGUGAGAUGUCACACAGAACUGUUUAACCCUGUAAAUUCUGAUUCUCCUCACAGUACUUGCGUAUAGACAAAUUCUUCCCCCGUGGUAUCUCUUCAUCUAUCACUCCAAGGAGAUAUGUCUCUGGUUUCUUUGUUAUUGAUAUUUUCCACAUCUUCUUUAGUUCUUCGUGUACUACUAUCCAAAAUUUCUUAAUUUCCUCACACCUCCACCACAUAUGUAUUGUUGUUCCUAUUUUUCCACCACAUCUCCAACAGAGGUUGGAUUUCAAUUUGUAUAUCUUUGCCAGCUUAACUGGCGUUAAGUACCACCUAUAGAACAUCUUUACAAAAUGUUCUUUAAUUGUAUAUGAGGCAGUAAAUCGUAUAUCCUCUCGCCAGAGUUUCUCCCAUUGCUCUAGAUAGAUAGUAUGUCCAAGAUCCUGAGACCAUUUAAUCAUCGUUUCUUUCACUUCUUCCUCCAUCAAUUCCCAGUCCAGUAAAAGAUUAUAGGUUUUGGAUAACAAUUUCUUGUUGUUCUUUAUCACUGUGACUUUAAAUUUCAAAUCUUCUUUUGCAAAUCCUUUCUUUUGAUCCGAGUUGAAUAUACUUCUAAGUUGUAUAUAUUGCCAUCUGUCAAUUUAAAUUUUGACUUACCAGAUUGAAAUAACUUCUGAUGGGGAGUGUUCAGGUGAAGAUGUUGCUGUUUGUUUCACAGACAAGGCGUGGACGUUGCUGGAUCUUGACCAGAAAGCUCAGCAUAAAGAGGUCAAGGAGGAGAAUCGUGGGAUCAUGGACUCUCUUGGUAAGGCUCCCUGUUGGAUCAUAACAUGUUGUGAUUGCAGAUGGAGUGGAUUCCAUGACUGAGCCAGAACAAAAUCCAUCCCAGAUAAAAGCCAAGCAAUAUCUCAGUUAAUACCAGCCAACUAAGGAAGUGAAACCUAUAGGACGGCCUCACAUCUCAUUCUCUUCAGAUCUUCCUCUGUCACAAGCAUUCAUUAACAUUGUUCAAUAAUCUGGAGCUCCCAUUUCCUCCUGAGACUCUAAUUAGCAUCUCUCUUCAUUGCAGGUGGUGAUGACUUAGAAGGGAAGAACAAGGGAGAGCACAACAGGAUCCACAUAGCGGAGAAGUCAUGUAAAUAUUCAGAGUGUGGAGAGAACAUCCGUCAGAGCUCCCAGUCCAACUCCCAUCAAAGAAAGAGCUUCAUUCGAAGGAAUAGCCUCACUUCACACGAAAUAACACAGAGUAGGGAGAAAUCGUAUCAGUGCUUGGAGUGUGGAAAGAGCUUCAGCCAGAGGGCCCAUCUCACUUCUCAUCAAAUAAUUCAUACAGGGGAGAAGCCCUAUCAGUGCUUGGAAUGUGGAAAGAGCUUCAAUCGAAAGAAUAAUUUCACUGUGCAUCAAAGAAUUCAUACAGGGGAGAAACCAUAUCAGUGCUUGGAAUGUGGAAAGAGCUUUCGUGUGAGUGGUGAACUCACUUCCCACCAAAGAAUUCAUACAGGGAGAAACCCUAUCAGUGCUUCGAAUGUGGGAAGAGCUUUCGUGUGAGUGGUGAUCUCACUUCCCACCAAAGAAUUCAUACAGGGGAGAAACCCUAUCAGUGCUUGGAGUGUGGGAAAAGCUUCAGUUACAGCGCCAGUCUCACUUCCCAUCAAAGAAUUCAUACAGGGGGGAAACCCUAUCAGUGCUUGGAAUGUGGAAAGAGCUUCAAUCGAAAGGGUCAUCUCACUUCUCAUCAAAGAAUUCAUACAGGGGAAAAACCCUAUCAGUGCUUGGAAUGUGGAAAGAGCUUCUGUCAAAGGGCGACGCUCACUUCCCAUCAACAAAUACAUACAGGGGAGAAACCCUAUCAGUGCUUGGAAUGUGGAAAAUGCUUCAGUCAUAGCACCGGUCUCACUUCCCACCGAAGAAUUCAUACAGGGGAGAAACCCUAUCAGUGCUUCGAAUGUGGGAAAAGCUUCAGUGAAAGAGCCAAUCUCACUUCCCAUCAAAGAAUUCAUAAAGGGAGAAACCCUAUCAGUGCUUCGAAUGUGGGAAGAGCUUUCGUGUGAGUGGUGAACUCACUUCCCACCAAAGAAUUCAUACAGGGAGAAACCCUAUCAGUGCUUGGAGUGUGGAAAGAGCUUCAGUCAAAGCACCCAUCUCUCUUCCCAUCAAAGAAUUCAUACAGGGGAGAAACCCUAUCAGUGCUUGGAGUGUGGAAAGAGCUUCAAUCGAAAGAGUCAUCUCACUUCCCAUCAAAGAAUUCAUACAGGGGAGAAACCCUAUCAGUGCUUGGAAUGUGGAAAGAGCUUCUGUCAAAGGGGGACGCUCACUUCCCAUCAACGAAUACAUACAGGGGAGAAACCCUAUCAGUGCUUGGAAUGUGGAAAGAGCUUUCAGUCAGAGUGGAUGAUCUCAAUUCCCAUCAAAGAAUCCAUACAAGAGAGACAACGUCUUAGUGUUUGGCAUGUGGGAAAAGAUUCAUUCAUUGCCCACCAAAUAAUUUAUACGGGGUUGAAAAUUGGGUCCCUCUCAAAGAGGGCUGCAGACAACCGACAGAUUACAACUGGGGAAUAUUUCACACAGGAAACCACAUCUGCUUGCAUGGACUUUUGUCAUAUAUGGAUUUAUAAAAGUGAAGGUGAAUCUUUGAUCUUUGUAAUCUUCCCUUAGGGCCCAGGGGAGCAAGCUUGGAUUCUAGAGGAACCAAACAAGUAUUAACUGUGAAAUCUAUCGCACAGUGUGGUCUCUUACAGAAGAUUCUUCGGUUUGGGAAAAUAUCAGUCAGUUAAAAUACAUUACAUGUGUCUUAAUUUUAACUAAACAAAGGAAAGCAGGAAGACAGCCCAGAGUCCUGGAAGAUAAGAUGGUGGAAUGAAAUAGGGCCUUCUGAGGAGGGACUGCACCGAAAACAAUUGAUGGACAACAACAAGAAGAGCACAAUUUUCAUCAUGCAUGUUAAUUUAGAUAUAGAUCUGUUAAAUAUGAUGAAAGUUGCAUGCCAGUGGCUGUCAAGAUAAGAUAAAGGAUUAAGAUCGGGAUGAUAUUGGGAAUAAAUAAAAGAGAGAAAAGUAGGAACAAGCACCCCCAAAAAAAUAAUCUCAUCAAUCUUUGACUUUUGUCUUCUGGGUUUCACUGUUGUUAUUCUGUCUCUCACAGCUACAAUAAACCUACCAUUAAUAUUGUGGACUAGGCAUUUCUUCGUCAGAGGGCAAAAAACCCAAAUUUAGCAGGGGAUCAAAUACUUUCCCCCCUCACUCUAGAUGUUUACACACACCCCUGGCUCUCGUUUGGAGGAGGAGUGAGAGGCGGAGGCUCUUUACUUCUAGAAUGGCAUUUCCACGGCACCUCCUUUCCUCCCAGGAGCUCCUCCUUCCACAACCCUGCCAGGCUGGCCUCUUGCAUGUCGCCCCCUUUCCAGCACUGCGUUGUUUAGUGUGGCAGCACCUGCCCUUUGGAACUCCCCGCCUCUUGCAAUAAAGCGCGUGCCUUUGCUAGACUCUUUUCUGGCACCUGCUAAGAGCAUUCUUGUUUAGGCAAGCAUAGUCAGAUGCUUAGGAACCUGAAGUAAUUUUAAUCUCUUUUAAUAUUUUAGCUUUUCUGUGUUUUAAAGUAG
rnacentral:lncRNA from 1 species